rnacentral:ncRNA from 1 species
CUUUUUUAUUUAAGAAGAGUUAGUUAGCUGGUUGGUCGUUAAUCAACUAUAUGAAGAGAGGAAUGGUUUGUAAGUUGAAGUAUUUUACAAUGUUUAGAUAAAGUGAAGAGCAGAAGAGCUAAGUAAUAUUUGUGCCAGCACUUGCGGUCAUACACUAAGCUCAAGUUAACUUUCAUGCUGAUUAUACUAGUAAUAUGUAAUAGUAACUAAAUUUAAGUAGAAAGGUGAAAUCAAAUACUCAUUUAUAAACUUUAUUACGUAAAAAGUAAGAAAUUGUACCUAUAAACUAGGAUUAGAUACCCUACUAUAUACAACGUAAGUAUUAUAUCAAGGUAGUAAUGGUUACGGUCCGUGAAAACUAAUAACAUAUGGCGGUUGACAAUCUUUCCAGAGACCCAUGUUUGUAAUCGAUAAUGCACGUCAAUCUUACCCUAUUUAAGAUUUUGUACACCGCUGUCGGAAGGUUGUGGAUAAUUUCAUAAUCUAUUACUAUCAAAGUAAUAAGUCAAGUCAAGGUGCAGACUAUGAUGGGGAUAUAAUGUGGGUCAUUGGUCUAAUAUGAACAGACAUGUUAUUGAAAAAUAGUAUGAAAGCAGAAUUUGGUAGUAAACUUAAAAAUUAUAUUGAGUUGAAAUAGCAAUUGUCAAUGUACAAAUCGCCCGUCACUCCAAUUAUGUUGGAUAAGUCGUAACAAAGUUGAUCUAUUGGAAAAUGGGUCAGG